GGAUAGCUCAGUUUGGUAGAGCAGAUGACUUCCAAUCAUCCUGUCGCGGGUUCGAAUCCCGCUC
rnacentral:tRNA from 1 species